UGAACUCCAUUUUUGUUGCUCUACAAAAGCUUAACAUGCAUUGUUUUUAUCCCAUUGUCCUUGACAACAAAACAAUCUCACUGAAUGUCUCUCACACUCUGUUUUCCCACAACAGAGGAAACAGAGCAAGCAAAAUUCCGUUUGUGCUUCCAUCUUUUUCAUUCUUCUUCACUUGAAAUUGAACUACUAUAAGUCGGAAAACAGUAUUCACUCACUCCUCGCUACUGAAUACACCCUAUUGAGCUCUGUUUUCAAGUCCUUGUUGGUCUCUUUCAAGUAAAAAGUUUACAGAAGUUUGACCUUCAGCUCAGGAGUUCACUCAAAAGUGUAGGAUUCAGUCAACUGCGUAGCAUAAUUUGUUCAGCUUUUGGCAUUUGCCGCACAAAUUUCUACAAAAAUGAUGCUAUCAACAAAAUCUGAGUCUGACAUCACAAGCUUGGCACCAUCAUCACCCUCAAGGUCACCAAAACGUCCUGUGUACUAUGUGCAAAGCCCUUCAAGGGAUUCUCAGGAUGGGGACAAGUCAUCCUCAUUGCAACCAAGCCCCAUGGAGUCGCCUUCACAUCCGUCUUUCGGCAGGCACUCCAGAAACUCUUCUGCCAGCAGGUUUUCAGGCAUUUUCCGGUCGUCUUCUGGGAGGAAAGGGACGAGAAAAAGGAACGAUAAAGGGUGGCCUGAGUGUAAUGUGAUAUUGGAAGAAGGAAAAUAUGAUGAGUUUGAAGAUAAGGGCUUUGUAAGAAGGUUUCAGGCCUUUAUUGCUCUUUUCAGUUUUGUGCUUUUGUUUACUGUUUUUUGCUUGAUUAUUUGGGGUGCCAGCAGGCCUUUCAAGGCAGAGAUUACUGUCAAGGUAUGCUAAUUUAGUUCCUUAAUUUCUCUUGUUUUUGGUAUCUAAUUUUUGUUUUUGUUUUUGUUUUUUGUUAUAUUUAACUCAGGUUAGUUUAACUCAUAAAACCUUCUAGGUGAUUUUUUCUAGUCAUGCUAUGCUCACAAAAACAAAAAUUAAAAAUAAAUAACUUUGGUGAAUGAAAAGUUGAAGCAUGAGUAAUCAAGUAAUGAUUUUAAGUACAGAAGGAAUUUUAAUUCUGUUUGGUUUUAUGCAGUUAGAAUUCGCAAGGCUAAUAAAGGGAUUUUGUAGUGGAAUAAUCUCAAAAUUUUAGAAUGAAGCUGCCAUUGUGUUUUGUAACUAAAAUGAGGCAAUUGGAUUAGCUAACAGAUGAGAUCGUAACAAAAGCUUAUGGCUGUAAUCAAAUUUUAGGUUCACAGCAUAUGCAUUCUGAAUUUUUUCUGGCUGCCUAAAGGACAUGUGAUCUUUGCAGAGCUUAUCAAUGCACAACUUUUAUGUCGGUGAGGGUUCAGACUCCACUGGAGUUCCAACAAAGAUGCUAACAAUGAAUGGCUCAUUGAAGAUAAGCGUGUACAACCCUGCUACAAUAUUUGGCAUUCAUGUCAGCUCCACGCCUAUCGAUGUCGUCUACUCAGAGAUUGUUAUUGCAACUGGGCAGGUGAGAACUCUGGUCUCAAACAUGUCAACAACAACGAAAAAUGUUAGUUUUUUCGGUCGUAUUAAACUUCUCAAUGCUAACAAGCAAAAGCCCUAAUCAUCUUGCAACGCUGCAACUUGUGAUGACUUGCAGUUGAAGAAAUAUUAUCAGCCAAGGAAAAGUCACCGAACUGUGUCGGUGAACUUGCAAAGUAACAAGGUUCCACUCUAUGGGGCGGGAUCAGGUUUAACAAUUUCUCCAACCGGAGGUGAAGUUCCUUCGACACUGAAGUUUGGAAUCCGAUCAAGAGGAGAAGUUGUGGGAAAGCUGGUGAAGACAACACAUAAGAAGCAAAUCACCUGCCCUUUAGUCAUAGACAUUCUCAGCACUAAGCCCAUCAAGUUCAAGAAGAAUGCAUGCACAUAUGACUGAUCAGACCGAAUGUUGGUUGAUGAAGUGUUGAGUUUUGUAUAAGUUGCUCAUGUUUUUCCUGUUAUUGUAUUUUCUGGAUUGCAGCCUGGGUUUCUUCCACUUCAUAAGGAAAAAUGAGAUGUAUUCAUAGUCCUUUUAAGGUUCACGCAAGCAAUAUGCAAAGCUAUGCUGCACGUACGAUAUGUUUAGUCUUUUGAAAGGAUCAUGGAAGUGAAAUAAUGUUUGCCAAGAAUGUAAAUCAACAGAGGAGAUUGUGAAUAAUUCUAUGCUUGUUGCUUAGCUCCAUCUUUCUUGCCGCUGCAUUCCAAACCCAAUGAGGUUCCGUGUGAGCAUUAAAUCUUAAAGUAAGCUUUUAAAUAAGUCAACUAAAUAUUUUAUUGUCUCUUCCCAUAUAAAAUUGUGUUUCAUAUGGUAACUCGGGCUUACUAAGACAAGGAGGCUAGCAAAAACGGAAAUAUAGUAAACAUUAACAUUCUAUGAAAAAUAAAUAAACAAAUUUAAUAAAAGUCAUGAAAAUUUAAUCUCAAUAAAAUUAUACCACACUAUCUUCUUUAAUUGGUAAAAUCGGAUAUUUAACCCAAAAAAAAAAUAAAAAAAAAAAAGCGAAAGCUUUGGAUCAUUGGAAUUAGUAUUUCUUUUGGAAAAAAAAUAAAUAUAAAUAAAACAAGAACAAAAAAGAGGACCAAAGGGGUGCAUGUCCAUAACUUUAGUAGUUUCUUUGACUGUCGACAGCUCCCCUUGCAUCUUCAUUUCGCAUUGUUUUAGUUAAAAAUCUUUUCACGCAAAACCCUCACAAGUCCAGAUCUCUUAUUGAAUCUCACUGCAUAUUCUCAAGUACCCAGAAAUCAAAAUCACUCGGUUUCCAUGUUUCCCGCAAAACCCACUUCAAGAAUCAUCCUUUUCACCCUCUCUCUCCUUCUACUCAUCUCAUUCUUCACCACCACCACCAUUGCAAUUGCCUCUGAUCUUGACACUGUCAGGGCAGAGAUUACUGUCAAGGUAUGCUAAUUUAGUUCCUUAAUUUCUCUUGUUUUUGGUAUCUAAUUUUGUUUUUUUGUUAUAUUUAACUCAGGUUAGUUUAACUCAUAAAACCUUCUAGGUGAUUUUUUCUAGUCAUGCUAUGCUCACAAAAACAAAAAUUAAAAAUAAAUAACUUUGGUGGGUGAAAAGUUGAAGCAUGAGUAAUCAAGGAAUGAUUUUAAUACAGAAGGAAUUUUAAUUUUGUUUGGUUUUAUGUAGUUAAAAUGCGCAAGGCUAAUAAACGGAUUUUGUAGUGGAAUAAUCUCAAAAUUCUAUAAUGAAGCUGCCACUGUGUUUUGUAGCUAAAAUGAGGCAAUUGGAUUGGCUAAGAGAUGAGAUUAAUUGUAACAAAAGCUCAUGUCUGUAAUCAAAUUUUAGGUUCAUAUCAUAUGCAUUCUGAAUUUUUUCUGGCUGCCUAAAGGACAUUUGAUCUUUGCAGAGCUUAUCAAUGCACAACUUCUAUGUCGGUGAGGGUUCAGACUCCACUGGAGUUCCAACAAAGAUGCUAACAAUGAAUGGCUCAUUGAAGAUAAGCGUGUACAACCCUGCUACAAUAUUUGGCAUUCAUGUCAGCUCCACGCCUAUCGAUGUCGUCUACUCAGAGAUUGUUAUUGCAACUGGGCAGGUGAGAACUCUGGUCUCAAACAUGUCAACAACAACGAAAAAUGUUAGUUUUUUCGGUCGUAUUAAACUUCUCAAUGCUAACAAGCAAAAGCCCUAAUCAUCUUGCAACGCUGCAACUUGUGAUGACUUGCAGUUGAAGAAAUAUUAUCAGCCAAGGAAAAGUCACCGAACUGUGUCGGUGAACUUGCAAGGUAACAAGGUUCCACUCUACGGGGCGGGAUCAGGUUUGACAAUUACUCCAACCGGAGGUGAAGUUCCGUCGACACUGAAGUUUGGAAUCCGAUCAAGAGGAGAAGUUGUGGGAAAGCUGGUGAAGACAACACACAAGACGCAAAUUACCUGCCCUUUAGUCAUAGACAUUCUCAGCACUAAGCCCAUCAAGUUCAAGAAGAAUGCAUGCACAUAUGACUGAUCAGACCGAAUGUUGGUUGAUGAAGUGUUGAGUUUUGUAUAAGUUGCUCAUGUUUUUCCUGUUAUUGUAUUUUCUG
rnacentral:lncRNA from 1 species